AGUGAACGCUGGCGGUAGGCCUAACACAUGCAAGUCGAACGGCAGCACAGUAAGAGCUUGCUCUUACGGGUGGCGAGUGGCGGACGGGUGAGGAAUACAUCGGAAUCUACUUUUUCGUGGGGGAUAACGUAGGGAAACUUACUCUAAUACCGCAUACGACCUACGGGUGAAAGCAGGGGAUCUUCGGACCUUGCGCGAUUGAAUGAGCCGAUGUCGGAUUAGCUAGUUGGCGGGGUAAAGGCCCACCAAGGCGACGAUCCGUAGCUGGUCUGAGAGGAUGAACACCCACAUUGCACGUGACCCUGGUUCCAACUCCCACGGGGAGCCGCCUGUGGGGACUAUGGAACAUGGGGCGCAUUCUUGUGCCACCCAUACGGCGUGGGUGAAGAAGGCCUGCGGGUUGUAAAGCCAUUUUGUUGGGAAAGAAAAGCCGCAGGUUAACCCCCGGCUGUUCUGCCGUUACCAAAAGAAUACGCCCCGGCUACUUUCGU
rnacentral:rRNA from 1 species